GACGAACCGUGCGAACGUUAUUCGGAAUCACUGGGCUUAAAGCGCGUGUAGGCGGGACGGCACGUCUGUCGCUGAAAUCCCCCGGCUUAACCGGGGAACUGGCGUAGAUACGACCGUCCUGGAGGGGCGUAGGGGGAUCUGGAACUUCCGGUGGAGCGGUGAAAUGCGCAGAUAUCAGGAGGAACACCGGUGGCGAAGGCGGAUCUCUGGGCCGUAACUGACGCUGAGGAGCGAAAGCAUGGGGAGCGAACAGG
rnacentral:rRNA from 1 species